rnacentral:rRNA from 1 species
UACGAAGGGGGCUAGCGUUGCUCGGAAUCACUGGGCGUAAAGGGUGCGUAGGCGGGUCUUUUAAGUCAGGGGUGAAAUCCUGGAGCUCAACUCCAGAACUGCCUUUGAUACUGAAGAUCUUGAGUUCGGGAGAGGUGAGUGGAACUGCGAGUGUAGAGGUGAAAAUUCGUAGAUAUUCGCAAGAACACCAGUGGCGAAGGCGGCUCACUGGCUCGGUACUGACGCUGAGGUGCGAAAGCGUGGGGAGCAAACAGG